rnacentral:rRNA from 1 species
GGGUGGUAAUGCCGGAUGUUCCACAUGAUCGCAUGUGAUUGUGGGAAAGAUUUCAUCGGCGUGGGAUGGGGUCGCGUCCUAUCAGCUUGUUGGUGAGGUAACGGCUCACCAAGGCUUCGACGGGUAGCCGGCCUGAGAGGGCGACCGGCCACAUUGGGACUGAGAUACGGCCCAGACUCCUACGGGAGGCAGCAGUGGGGAAUAUUGCACAAUGGGCGCAAGCCUGAUGCAGCGACGCCGCGUGAGGGAUGGAGGCCUUCGGGUUGUAAACCUCUUUUGUUUGGGAGCAAGCCUUCGGGUGAGUGUACCUUUCGAAUAAGCGCCGGCUAACUACGUGCCAGCAGCCGCGGUAAUACGUAGGGCGCAAGCGUUAUCCGGAUUUAUUGGGCGUAAAGGGCUCGUAGGCGGCUCGUCGCGUCCGGUGUGAAAGUCCAUCGCUUAACGGUGGAUCUGCGCCGGGUACGGGCGGGCUGGAGUGCGGUAGGGGAGACUGGAAUUCCCGGUGUAACGGUGGAAUGUGUAGAUAUCGGAAAA